GAAAAAAGCUUCCACCAACAAAAACAAACCAAAAACUGUUCAGCCUGCUAAGGUUAUCUCGCCCAAAAGAUCUCAAGCUGUGGGAAUAUUGCUGUCCAGUUUGAAGCUGGACUUUCCAGAAAUAGAGGAAGCUAUUGUGAAUUUGGAUACAUCUAUAUUGGAUUUAGAAAAGUUCAAGGCUAUAUAUGACAAU
rnacentral:sRNA from 1 species